CAUACCGGCCAUACCACCCUGAACGUGCCUGAUCUGGUCUGAUCUCAGAAGCCGAGCAGGGUCGGGCCUGGUUAGUACUUGAAUGGGAUUCCGCCUGGGAAUACCAGGUGCUGUGGGC
rnacentral:rRNA from 1 species